GCAGUAAGUCAGCAGAUAUUCAUGUUGAGAAAUAAAGUUCAGUGAAAAACCAUAAAACCUCAUAAGCUUCUGACUUCCAACAGCUCCAGUAGUCAUUUAGUAAUUAAUAAAAAUCAAAAUUCAGUAAAGGGUUACUUUAAAACAGCACAGAUUACACAGUAGAUGUAGAAAAGCUCGAUUUUCAGCAAUCUGUAUUGUGAUUGUUAUGCAGGUAAUGCCAGCUCAAAGUGCCUCAAUCAUCUUCCCUCUGGUAUUUUUUAGCACAAUCAUAAAAUAUAAUGUAUGUGGUAAGGAAAUCCCCUGAGACAGUAAUGGCACACAGGUAAUGCUUACCAGGGGGUUGCAUUUGCAUUUGACUUCUUAAAGCAUUUGCAGCCAUGUCCGUGUAAAGCUACAACGCUGAAAACUCACUUUAUAUCCAGAGAAAUGCAUGAAGGUCAGAUUUUCCAAAAGCCUUUAAAAGUAAGAAUUUAGUUUAUAUUGUUGGUGUGGAUGGUCUUUAAAAAAAAAAUCCCAUUUAGUUUUUGGACCAUAUCAUCCAGCUCUAAAUGUAAACAACAGCAGUAAAUCAGCGGAUAUUUUACAUAUUAUCUGUAUAUUGUUAUACAGAUACAGCAGGUAUUGAAUGUGUUGCAUAUUGUAGCUUUAAUGUCAUUUAAACAUAGAGCCUCCAAAAUGUGAUUUGUACAAAUGGCAUUUCACAGGAAACUAUAAACAAAGACAAAAAACACUCGAGCGUUGAGUUCCAGAAACACUUGUAGCUGCUGUGUGUUUCUAAUGUCCUAAACAGACACCAAUGUGCAUCUGGUUGUGUUUAUAUUACAUGAGGCUGUUGGGGAGUGUAGUCCAUACAUGGUCACAGCAGUGCCUGCUCUGCUCACACAUGAGCAACAUGUUUGUUCAGUUCCAUGUAGGUUAGACUUUAUCCAUCUACACUGUCCCAUCCAUUAGCUGUUGAUACAGAAAACACACUUACCAUGGAGCAUACUUCAUAUUCAGUCUGGACACAUGUUGAAAACCUCUUUAACAGAAGUAAUUUAACAUCAGGAUAAAAAUGCACAUACUGAAUUAACUAAAUUGAAUGUGAAUGGACCUUUGCACUAUUCAGGGUGACAAAGAUGGUUGUUGAUGAAUAAUUUGAUCAAGAAGGAGAGUAGUUUGAGCGGAGUGAGACUAUGGCAGGGAUGGAUGGAGGGUGAGAGGGAUGGGACGGGAGGGGAAGUGGGAGGAGUAGGGGGAGGCGUGAUGCACAGUGGCGUGAAUGAAAUUCACCAUCAUCCUUCAAACAGCUUUGUAACAUUUUCCACAGGCGCCACCGGUCGGCCCCAGGAUCAUAUACCUCGAACCAGGACGAGCCCCUGAAGGCUCGGAGGGACACUAUUUACUCAUUUGAAAUGUUUGGGAAACAUUUCGGCAUGUUUUACACACACACACACACACACCUACGAUUACCUCGGUGGUCCAAAGACAGGCAUUAUGCUUCACAUCUUUUAAGCUACAUCAAACGAAGAAACGGUGAAAACUAAAGCUAAGAUAGAUCUGUUUACUUUUUGAACGCUUACUAAAGUACUUCUAUGUAAAAUUCCUGUACAUCGCUAUAACGCUCAGUUUGUUUUCUGUUGCUCAUGUGAUACUUUGAUGCAGAAAUAAGGCAGAACAUAAAAAAAAACUUUUAAAGUGAAAGAGCCAUUCAGAGGAAGUGAAACUGGUUGAAUAAUAAUGACAAAUCAGUGAUUUUUAUCAGGAUUUCUAUUGAGUGUUUGAUUGUGUUUGUCUUUUUGGGGCUCUGCUUCAUAAAUGGGAAGUGUUUAUUGCUUAAAUAAAAGAUUUUCUUGCAGCACUGUAAAAAAAAAAAACAACUUUUUAAUGUUUUAGUAAAACGAAAUUAAUCAUGAAAAUGUACAAUCACCCUACAAGUUUGACUAAGUCAAACUGGUGAUAAUGUGAAUUAUCACUUUAAUAUUUAUUACAAUUUGAUCUCUAUGCACAAUGAGUUGCACAUCAUGUUACUUAGACCUUGGUGUUGUUUCUCCCCUCAAGUAUUUGGCCUAAGAUUGUUUUUGUUUUCCUUUUUACACCUUAAAGGUGAUUUUUAAAAAGACCUUUUGUGUCCCUGCUUUUGCUCAUUUCCUUAAUGUUUGUCAGUUGAAGCAUUAUGUGAUAUUCUGUAGUUUAACUAAGCUUUGUUAGAGCCUUCUAAUUGACAUGAUUUCAUAAGUGAACCUCCACUAUGAGUGAGGUGUUUUGAGCUUGACAUUUGACUAAAAUUUCACUUUACUGAAGACUUGUUUGAAUUUUUUAAGAGUGAAUCCAACAAGACAUAGAUUAAAUCCUUUCUUUCUGGACUUCACUAUAAAUAUAGACAUUAAAUGUCCCAUUUUAAAUGUGGAAAAACUGCUUAUUUACACGGAGCCGGCCUGGCAGCGGGUGUCCAUUGGCCUCUGAAAAUGAAUUUUUAAGUGGUGUGCUUUGCCAGCAUUGUGAUGAAGAGAAAAACAAGUUUUAAGAGUGUUAGAGCUCCAACUCCUGUUGGUUAUAAGCUAAUUACCGAUUUCUAUCGCCAAACCUUUGGUGCUUUUCUUUGGAACAUAUUUACCUCAUGUACCAGUUGCCAACACCGUGCUACGGUCGAGGUUUGGUAAAUAAGCAUUGUUAAGCUGUUUCAAGAGGUUUGAUCUAUCCUCAGUAGUGAAAGUGGUUUGGGUGCAUUUUGUCUGAGGCGGACCCUUGUACAGUACUGUAAUAUGUGGCUGUGAAGCCAUGUCAGCGCAUUGUUAACGUACUGUGGUUAUACCUUUUUCUUGUUUUUUGUUUCAUGGGAGGGAAGUUAAUAAUUGUUUUUCUACAUUAAUAUUCUUUAACAGAGGUAAAAUAUGUCUGAAGAAGACACAGUCAUUUUAUAACAAAAAAAAAAAUCACUUAUCAUCGUAAAGCCACAUCUUUUAUGUAUAAAAAGACUAAAGGCAUGAUUUUAACUUUUUUCUGAGAUCUUUAGAUGUCGUACUCGAUGAAUUAAUUGAAUUUUAAAAAUGAGUGAUUUCAAAGAUUUCUUUCUCCAAAUAAAAGUCUUCUCUGGCUGAAGUCCAGAUCCUCA